UCCCCCUUGCUUGUGAGACCCCUAUAAUGUGUAUAUUGGUCCACUUGAUGAUGUCCCAUAAGUCCCUUAAGCUAUCUUCACUCUUUUUCAUUUUUUUUUUCCAUUUG